rnacentral:misc_RNA from 1 species
AGGAAAAAGAGAAAGAUAAAAAGAAGUGAAGAAAGAAUGAAUGAAGAGAAAAAAAGAAAAGUGUGACGUGUGUGACCUUUUCCGCAGAACUUUCUGGAACAGCGACCUCACUUGAGGCACACUGUGACCCGAGAGACGACGGCCCAACAACACUGAGGUCAAACAGGCUCUCUUCCUUAUGCAGGAAAGUCGAGUCAAGAGUCCCUGAAUGCUGCGAAGGAAACACACUGCUGCAGGGAACACUGCACCCACCACCAAGCCAAGCCAAACCACAACACAAACCUUCAACAACAUCUGGAGCUAUCAACAACACACAAAGUACAAGACAACACCUGCAGCAAUGAAGAACAUUUAGGUUAGGUUAGAACGCCUGAGGGUUAGAACACCUGGAGUGAUGAAGAACAGGUUAGGUAAGGCAGUUUGGCAUGUUUUUUUUUUAGGGCAUUUUUA